rnacentral:rRNA from 1 species
CAGUAGCCGCGGUAACACGGAGGGAGCUAGCGUUGUUCGGAAUUACUGGGCGUAAAGCGCACGUAGGCGGUUAUUCAAGUCAGAGGUGAAAGCCCGGGGCCCAACCCCGGAACUGCCUUUGAAACUAGAUGACUGGAAUCUUGGAGAGGUCAGUGGAAUUCCGAGUGUAGAGGUGAAAUUCGUAGAUAUUCGGAAGAACACCAGUGGCGAAGGCGACUGACUGGACAAGUAUUGACGCUGAGGUGCGAAAGCGUGGGGAGCAAACAGGAUUAGAUACCCCUGUAGUCCCUGUCUCUUAUAC